UGUGAACUCGAAGAGUAGGGCGGGACACGUGGUAUCCUGUCUGAAUAUGGGGGGACCAUCCUCCAAGGCUAAAUACUCCUGACUGACCGAUAGUGAACCAGUACCGUGAGGGAAAGGCGAAAAGAACCCCGGCGAGGGGAGUGAAAAAGAACCUGAAACCGUGUACGUACAAGCAGUGGGAGCACCUUCGGGUGUGACUGCGUACCUUUUGUAUAAUGGGUCAGCGACUUAUAUUCUGUAGCAAGGUUAACCGUAUAGGGGAGCCGCAGGGAAACCGAGUCUUAACUGGGCGUUAAGUUGCAGGGUAUAGACCCGAAACCCGGUGAUCUAGCCAUGGGCAGGUUGAAGGUUGGGUAACACUAACUGGAGGACCGAACCGACUAAUGUUGAAAAAUUAGCGGAUGACUUGUGGCUGGGGGUGAAAGGCCAAUCAAACCGGGAGAUAGCUGGUUCUCCCCGAAAGCUAUUUAGGUAGCGCCUCGUGAACUCAUCUUCGGGGGUAGAGCACUGUUUCGGCUAGGGGGUCAUCCCGACUUACCAACCCGAUGCAAACUACGAAUACCGAAGAAUGUUAUCACGGGAGACACACGGCGGGUGCUAACGUCCGUCGUGAAGAGGGAAACAACCCAGACCGCCAGCUAAGGUCCCAAAGUCAUGGUUAAGUGGGAAACGAUGUGGGAAGGCACAGACAGCCAGGAUGUUGGCUUAGAAGCAGCCAUCAUUUAAAGAAAGCGUAAUAGCUCACUGGUCGAGUCGGCCUGCGCGGAAGAUGUAACGGGGCUAAACCAUGCACCGAAGCUGCGGCAGCGACACUAUGUGUUGUUGGGUAGGGGAGCGUUCUGUAAGCCUGCGAAGGUGACCUGUGAGGGUUGCUGGAGGUAUCAGAAGUGCGAAUGCUGACAUAAGUAACGAUAAAGCGGGUGAAAAGCCCGCUCGCCGGAAGACCAAGGGUUCCUGUCCAACGUUAAUCGGGGCAGGGUGAGUCGACCCCUAAGGCGAGGCCGAAAGGCGUAGUCGAUGGGAAACAGGUUAAUAUUCCUGUACUUGGUGUUACUGCGAAGGGGGGACGGAGAAGGCUAUGUUAGCCGGGCGACGGUUGUCCCGGUUUAAGCAUGUAGGCUGGUUAUCCAGGCAAAUCCGGAUAAUCAAGGCUGAGGUGUGAUGACGAGGCACUACGGUGCUGAAGUAACAAAUGCCCUGCUUCCAGGAAAAGCCUCUAAGCAUCAGGUAACAUCAAAUCGUACCCCAAACCGACACAGGUGGUCAGGUAGAGAAUACCAAGGCGCUUGAGAGAACUCGGGUGAAGGAACUAGGCAAAAUGGUGCCGUAACUUCGGGAGAAGGCACGCUGGUGUGUAGGUGAAGCCCCUGCGGGUGGAGCUGAGACCAGUCGAAGAUACCAGCUGGCUGCAACUGUUUAUUAAAAACACAGCACUGUGCAAACACGAAAGU
rnacentral:rRNA from 1 species